rnacentral:tRNA from 2 species
GCCCUUGUAGCUCAAUGGAUAGAGCAGUCCCCUCCUAAGGGAAAGGUUACCAGUUCGAUUCUGGUCUCGGGCG